GUGCUCGUUUCGGCAGCACAUAUACUAAAAUUGGAACUAUACAGAGAAGAUUAACAUGGCCCCUGUGCAAAGAUGACAUGCAAAUUCAUGAAGUGUUACAUAUUUUU
ensembl:snRNA U6 U6 spliceosomal RNA